GGAGUUUGGUCCGUGUCUCAGUACCAAUGUGGGGGACCUUCCUCUCAGAACCCCUACUGAUCGUCGGCCAGGUGGGCCGUUACCCCGCCUGCUGCCUAAUCAGACGCAUCCCCAUCCCAUAGCGGUGAACCUUUGCUCCUUGUCUGAUGCCAUCGGAGGAGAACAUAGGGCAUUAAUCCGACUUUCGCCGGGCUAUUCCCUACUAUGGGGAAGGUUGGAUACGCGUUACUCACCCGUGCGCCGGUCGCCAUCUGGAAUAGCAAGCUAUCCCAAUGCUGCCCCUCGACUUGCAUGUGUUAAGCCUGUAGCUAGCGUUCAUC
rnacentral:rRNA from 1 species